GGAAAGCAAUCCUGCUGUGACAUGUCACCCCACUGAUGGCCAGGAUUGAUGCGGUUGAUGUGGCUGGCUAAACAGAUGUCCUUUCUUACUGAUCCAUGUACAUCCUUCCCAAAGCUGUAUGCUCAGUCCAGAGGAUGCCAUCCCCAGGCGGGGAAGUGCCUUCCUCAGUCGGGGAUACAAGUAGCUGCUUCCCUGCUAGAACCUCUAAACAAGCUGUCAAGAAUGUGCCAGGUAUGGUGGUGCAUGCCUGAAAUCCCAGCACCUGGGAAGCUG
ensembl:misc_RNA 7SK 7SK RNA